rnacentral:rRNA from 1 species
CACGUAGGGUGCAAGCGUUGUCCGGAAUCAUUGGGCGUAAAGAGCUCGUAGGCGGCUUAGUAAGUCGGGUGUGAAAACCCCAGGCUCAACCUGGGGACGCCACCCGAUACUGCUAUAGCUAGAGUCCAGUAGGGGAGUGUGGAAUUCCCAGUGUAGCGGUGAAAUGCGCAGAUAUCAGGAGGAACACCGGUGGCGAAGGCGGAUCUCUGGGCCAUUACUGACGCUGAGGAGCGAAAGCGUGGGGAGCGAACAGG